CCCAGGGGAGGGAAGCAGAGAGCAGGGAACGAAACAUUGCAAUCCACAGCCUUCCUCUUCUCUGAACAACUUUCCAGGACUCCGUUUGAAGUCUGUUUUACAAGUCUUCUCGUGCUGUUACACAACUUUUUAAAUUGCAUCUUUCAAACGUAUCGAUCCCUGCUGGAUUUCUGUGCAUAAUUUACACCAACGGGUUUGAAUUUCGUGUCUUAAAUGAGCUCGUUUUGAUUCUAUGGAAACCUGAGCUGGAAUGUGCUGGAAGUGGCAGCUAGGGAAACUGUUUUGAAAAUUAAUUGGAAAAAGUUUUGUAUACCCAACCCGUGGAGUGAUUACAAAACGUACAUGUGGGUAAAAGGCUGAUGGAUUAUAAAUUCUAUAUAUUAUUGAUAUAUACAUUUUCUACGAGUCUGUCUUAGUGUAAGUUUUUAUUUUUAUUUUUAUGGGCAGUUCGGGUAACUACAAUGUUUUUACCUUCAUUAUCAUGGAGUAAUGUUUGAGGAUCUGGGAUCAACAUUUCUUUCGCUUGCUUGGAAUCGUUCCGUCUUAGUAUAAAACACAACUUCUAAAGCAACAUGAACACGCUGUUUUUAUUCCUGUGGUUUGUGCCAGUAACCCUCGACUUCAGAGUUUGAUAUAUACAUUGUUGUAAUGUACUGAAAUGGUAAUUUUAAAGUUCCCAGCGUUGUUUCAAUGCAGUAGAUCGCUUUGGAAAAUCUCUUUUUAACUCUUUAUAUACUUCAAACUAUAUUGCUGAUAUUUUUUGGUAUUCUAUAUUUGCUGGGGAUUAACUGGAAUCUUCGUUGUUUUUUUAAAUCCUUGAAUGUUACAAGUGUCCAGCGGAGUUCAAAUAGACUUGACUAUUUUGUUAAAGUUUUGAAUGUUGUGCAGAAGCCGAGUUAAGCUGGGUUUCCUAACUGGAGGGAAUCCCCAAACUGGACUCGGUUUAAACACACUAAACUCCCUGGAUUAAACACAGUAGGGCCCGCAAAUGAGAUUAAAACUUCCCUUGGGAAAUCUGGAAUCUUAAAAUGUGGACAGUCAAAGAGAGCGUCCCCAUUCCUGCAUCCAUUCAGGCUGGAAGUGUUCACAAAGCGAAAAACAAGCAAGAUCUGUAAAAAUAUGUACAAGUAUGUUUCCUUAUGUCCUGUCGAAUUACCACUGCUGUCGAAUUUACUGAGGGUUUCUGUAGCAGUUCAACGAAUUCAGCAGACAGUUUAAUAAUAGGUGUUGCGUUUUGUAGAAACUUUUUUUUUUCGUUGAGUCGUUUAUGUAAUGCAGUACAACACCACACGUAUAUUUCAUGUUUUUGAAAGUAAGAAAGUUGCACGUUAUCAGCCGAAAACUCUCAUAAGUUAAAACGCUGUAGAAUUUUAGAUAAUAACUUUGAGCCAUACUUUUUAAGAAGGAAUAAAUAACAAUAAACCUGCAAUUAAACGUGAGAUUUUUCUCCAGGCAACCCACGUGCAAAAAGUGUUUUGGAUACAAUUUCAAAAGGCUUGAUUUUUCCAACAGGUUGCAGUGAUAUAUUUUUUUCCCCCUCAAUCCUUUUGUUUUUUUUUUUCGUUUUUGGAUAUAUAUUUUUCUAGCUAGCUUGAGUACGCUGUCAGUCAGCCUCCCAGUGCACAAUGUGCGGCCGGGGCCCGCCGCUGCAAUGACCGUUCCUCAGCGGCAACUCGCCGGGCUCUGGCCGUGGCUGCUAAUGGCGGCCCUUCAGGUAGUGCUCGGGCAGACAGGACUGGAGCUGGCGGCGGCGGCGGCGGCGUCGGAACGGUCUGCGACCAAAGCUGUCAUCAAAGUGACACUUCUCAAACCAGACUCGGCGGGGAAGUCUUACAUGGAAGUGGAGGGGGUGUUCGCGGGAAGCAACGGAAGGGGUUCAACCGAAGGGAAGCUGAUGCAGUCCCACCCGCUGUCCCUGUGUAACACGAGCGACGACGAGCAGCAGGAGGCGCUGUUUAUCAGCAUUGUCAAGUUGGAGAGUCCUGACAGAGAGCUGCAUCCCUGCCUGUCGCUGCUCAAAAAGGCACGCCUGGCAUUGGAUCGGGGAGCUCAAGCUGUCAUCUUCGACGUUACUGAUGAUGCAACAGCUGCUGAAAAGCUGCGUCAGUCUGAUGAUCUGCUCAAACCGGUGGUGCUGGUCCAGGCCAAGGAUGCCGAGACCCUCAUGGAGCUCGUCAACAACAACCAGGAGGCCACAGUGCAGAUCGAUGUCCGGCUCGAGCAGGAAGGGCAGCACUAUGAUGUUGGGAUCCUCCUCACUGUGGUUACUGCCUUGCUGGUUAUCAUCCUGAUUUUUGCCUUUCGCUUCAGGUGUAGACAGAACAGGAACAGGGAUUCCAUGCAGCAGCAGACUAUCCGUGCCAUCAGCCGUCUGCAGACCCGGAUGUACAAAUCCCAGUGCCGCUCGGGGAGCCAGAGGUCAAGGGGCAAGUGGGACUCCGCCAGCAGCAGCAACUCCAGCCCUGUGUGUGUCAUCUGCCUGGAGGAGUUUGCCGAUGGACAGAACCUGCGUGUUAUUUCGUGCUUUCAUGAGUUUCACAAGAAGUGCGUGGACCCCUGGCUGCUCCAGCAUCGUACCUGCCCGCUCUGCCUGCACAACAUAAUGGAGGCAGAAUCUAUGCCCGGACAAAUCACCCCUGGGAGACACCUGCAGCAGCACCCCUCUGCCAUCCCCCUGCGGCCCUACCCCCACUCAGCCCCAAGGCAGCCCACCCACAUGGGCCGCUACUUUCCACCUCCUCCUUUGGACCCUGCCACUGUCAGGUAUCUGCCCAACAGACAGCUGGUACCAGUCCUUCAGAGGUGCAGCUACAGCCACGGCGAGGGGCUUCCAAUCAGGCAGUACACCAACAUGUGCUGCAGGCCCCCUUUUCCACCUGAGCAGCAUUAUCAAGGCAGGCCCUGCGCCCCUCUGCACCGAUCAGCCUGGUCAGCCCCACGCAGUGCCCCCAACUCCCGGCACCACAGCCGAGGGGGUGGGCACAGCCGGCAGGACGACGGGAGCUGCUCGGGGGGCAGCUUUCGGACAGAGAAGAGCGGCUACCUGGCUGACGGGCCUGGCAGUGACUCCAGCUCAGGGCCUUGUCACGGCUCCUCCAGUGACUCUGUUCUCAACUGCACCGACGUCAGCCUCCAAGCCGUCUACGGGAGCUGGUCCACCUUCCGCAGCUCCCUGAGCAGUGACUACGAUCCCUUUGUCUACUGCGGUGAGAGUGGAGGAGGAAUGGAGAGCGGAGGCAGACCCAGGUCUUUGGACUCCAUGGUCAAUCGGACUGGUUCCUGCCCAGAGGAGCAGGUUUUCAACCAUGUCCACUUCCACCGACACAGACACCACCACUAUGGAGAGGGCCGGAGCAGCGACCAUAGGCCUGCCAGGAGCUCCGACAGGGAGCUGUGUACCUCCGAGUCUCCAGUCACGGACGGUUUACAAUCCAGGGUGGGUGAAGUGCACCACUGCCAGCCAAAAAGCUGCUCUGAAGGGCAGCACGACGCACCCAGCCUGUGUCCUUGUCCCAAAGCCGGGCAUGACCCUUCGGAGAGCCCAGCACCAAGAGCAGUAGAGGAGGGGCGAGAUGCAGAGGAGAAUGGACAGGCUCCUGCCAUGCUGCCUCUGCCCUGCUGCCACCACAGGAGCUGCGACUUCAACAGCCGCCACCACCACCGGAGGAAAAAGAGCAUCUGUCACCAUGACCCGCCGCCACCCAUGGUGCAGUUCCACCAGAGCGUGGACAUGCAGGAGGACUGCAGCAUCCACAUUCACUAUGGCCAUGUCUCAGGAUACCCCCCGGAUAACCAGCCGCUGGUGCCGGUCCCUCUCAUCCUGGACUCUACAGAGGCAGGGGACUGGCCCUGCUGCUCAGGGCACCACGUCGUGUGGCAGCGGCAGCUCCAGCAGGCAGGGUCAGAGCCCCUGCUGGAGGCGCCUAGACCCCCUGAGGAAAGGGAUCAGAGCAGGGGGGGGUCGGGGCCCAAGCCAGCACAGGAAGAUUGUUUAUACUGCCCAGACUCGCUCAGUAAUCAGGGAUCAGAAGAGGAGGCCGAGACGAUGGGUCAGCACACAGUGUAACCCUUAAAGGGCAAAAUAGUUGUUGAAUCAAGGUUGAGUCUUCCAGAGCCAGACCGACACAUUUUCUAUGUACAGCUCUCUGUGUGGUGUGGCGUCCUGUCUCUGUGGGCUGUGAUGAAAAGCCUGGCUGUCAUGGUGAGAUCUGUAGCACAAGGGAGAUUGGAAGAGUAAUAUACAAAUCCCACUAUGAUAAGUAAAGAUCCCCUUUAACCCAGUAAACCAUUCUGACUGAGCACUGGCCCAGACAGGGAGACACUGCAGCUAUUUCUAGUGCUGGCUUCUCACUGUAAACAUUGCAUAUAUGUGUGGAUGCCGUGGCACGCUAGCAGUUUCUUUUUAAGGACAAUCUUACCUGGUCCAGCCAUGUUCUGCACUGUUGAAUUAAAUUAAAUCUCCCUCAAGACCCUACAUUUGUUUAUUUUUUUUUUGACCAAUGAAACCCAGGACCAUGAUUGGGACCCCCCCACCACCCUAGUAGGUGACCAAAGGCCGCACCUUCAAGUCAAGUGACUGUCCCAGCUUGUGGUCAUCUACAGACUGCAGGAAAUCUCACAAAAUGACAACCAGUAAUCCAUCUUAUCACACCGUGGUGUCUGAUACCUUCUUCCAUAAGGAGGCAGUGAAACGUGAAUGAGGGAAGCUGCAGGAGUCACUAACUCAUUGGAAUAUUGAUUCCAGGCUGUCUGAUGAAAAGGUUGUUAUGAUGCAGGCUUCUCCAGAGAACAUCUGGCUGUCAUAUCUGGACUCAUUGGCAGCUAAUUUGUAUCGGAACAUGUCUUUGGCAGAGUGCUUUGAACUGACACAUAUUGUUGUCUUAAUUAAAGAUCUGUCAGUGACCUACUUUUUUCUUUUAAAAGCUAUUGAAAACUUGAUCAAGCUGUUCUUUUGGCUAUGGUUGCUAACUGAUAGAUGUUUUCCCUGCCUAGCUCCAAACUAAAUUUGAUGUUCUGUAGCAAGAAGUAUAAGCAGGGAACUGCAGCUUCAACAACACAACAUUUUGCACCACCCUAUAGAAUUAAUUUAGCUUCAUAAAGUUGAAUGAAACCUGCUGAAUAAUGUUACGUUAACAUAUUGAAUUACAUACCGCUUUGUAGUUUUCCAUACUUAAGAAAAACUGACAAGUUGAAAAAUGUGACAUUUCAAAAUCUAACAUAAAA